rnacentral:rRNA from 1 species
AUUGAACGCUGGCGGAAUGCUUUACACAUGCAAGUCGAACGGCAGCACGGGGGCAGCCCUGGUGGCGAGUGGCGAACGGGUGAGUAAUACAUCGGAACGUGCCCGGUCGUGGGGGAUAACGUAGCGAAAGUUACGCUAAUACCGCAUACGAUCUGAGGAUGAAAGCGGGGGACCUUCGGGCCUCGCGCGAUCGGAGCGGCCGAUGUCAGAUUAGGUAGUUGGUGGGGUAAAGGCCUACCAAGCCGACGAUCUGUAGCUGGUCUGAGAGGACGACCAGCCACACUGGGACUGAGACACGGCCCAGACUCCUACGGGAGGCAGCAGUGGGGAAUUUUGGACAAAGGGCGCAAGCCUGAUCCAGCCAUUCCGCGUGCAGGACGAAGGCCUUCGGGUUGUAAACUGCUUUUGUACGGAGCGAAAAGGCUCUGGCUAAUACCUGGGGCUCAUGACGGUACCGUAAGAAUAAGCACCGGCUAACUACGUG